rnacentral:SRP_RNA from 1 species
GCUGGGCGAGGUGGUGCACGCCUGUAAUCCCAGCUACUUGGGAGGCUGAGGCAGAAGAAUCACUUGAGCCCAGGAGGUAGAGGUUGCAGUGAGCAGAGAUUGCACCACUGCACUCCAGCCUGGGAAACAGAGUGAGACUCCGUCUCAA